rnacentral:lncRNA from 1 species
CGGAGACAAGUGAAGAGAACUGACUUACACCUUAAAGAACUGCUGUUUGCUCUGUAAAGGUUGCCCUUCAUCACUCAGCAGUGAAGAAUGAAAAUCAACAGAGCUUUCCCCAGCCUGCUGCUUAAGCAGCUGCUAGCAGGCUGAGGCUGCCCAGCCUCAUUAACCCAUUAGAUGCUGCGUUCGCCCGGGAGUCAUUCUUAAUGAGGCUGCUGCAGAUGAGAAAACAGAAGCAAAGGCAGAAAGAUGCUACAUUGCCAGCUUUGAAGAUGGAGGGAAGAGGUCACAAACCAAGGAAGGCAAUGAGGACGUUGCACAAGACAGUCCCUGAUACCCAGAGUUUACUGCCUAAGAGAGGAUACAUCCUUCAAACCAAUAAUCUGCUAAUAGCAAGAUCCAAUAGCUUCAUGGAUAUUGAAAGAAACUGAGAAUCAAAUUUGCAUACUUCUGAGUCACUUGGAAACAAAAAACAAGUACAGUCUUAGAUUCUGAGGGAACAAAAAUUAAAAAUCACAUUAGGAAGAGAAUUCCUAAUGUAGGAACUCAUCCUGGAAGAUUCUUCAGCAAAAGUACAGACAAUAAUAAUAAUACUCCAUGAAGUUACCAUCGAUAUUGAAUGAAUUAAUGAAUGUAAAAACCUCAAAACCCUGCCUGGCCCAGAGCUUUGGAAUGGGUUUGGAUCUACCACUCAACUGCUUUAUGACUUCAGACCAGUUAUUUAAAUUCCCUGAAGCUCAGUUUCCACAUCU